rnacentral:rRNA from 1 species
GAUCAUGGCUCAGGAUGAAUGCUAGCUACAGGCUUAACACAUGCAAGUCGAGGGGCAGCAUGAUCGAAGCUUGCUUUGAUUGAUGGCGACCGGCGCACGGGUGAGUAACGCGUAUCCAACCUUCCCUAUAGUAGAGAAUAGCCCGGCGAAAGUCGGAUUAAUGCUCUAUGUUGUAAUUAGAAGACAUCUGAAGAAUACCAAAGGUUUACCGCUAUAGGAUGGGGAUGCGUCUGAUUAGGUAGUAGGCGGGGUAACGGCCCACCUAGCCGACGAUCAGUAGGGGUUCUGAGAGGAAGGUCCCCCACAUUGGAACUGAGACACGGUCCAAACUCCUACGGGAGGCAGCAGUGAGGAAUAUUGGUCAAUGGACGGAAGUCUGAACCAGCCAAGUAAGCGUGCAGGAUGACGGCCCUAUGGGUUGUAAACUGCUUUUAUAUAGGGAUAAAGUCGGGGACGUGUCCCCGUUUGUAGGUACUAUAUGAAUAAGGACCGGCUAAUUCCGUGCCAGCCGCCGC